rnacentral:rRNA from 1 species
CCUACGGGGAGCAGCAGUGAGGAAUAUUGGUCAAUGGGCGCGAGCCUGAACCAGCCAAGUAGCGUGAAGGAUGACUGCCCUACGGGUUGUAAACUUCUUUUAUAAAGGAAUAAAGUACGGCCCGUGGCCCUUUUUGUAUGUCCUUUAUGAAUAAGAAUCGGCUAACUCCGUGCCAGCAGCCGCGGUAAUCCGGAGGAUCCGAGCGUUAUCCGGAUUUAUUGGGUUUAAAGGGAGCGUAGAUGGGUGGUUAAGUCAGUUGUGAAAGUUUGCGGCUCAACCGUAAAAUUGCAAUUGAUACUGGCAGCCUUGAGUACAGUUGAGGUAGGCGGAAUUCGUGGUGUAGCGGUGAAAUGCUUAGAUAUCACGAAGAACUCCGAUUGCGAAGGCAGCUUACUAAACUGCCACUGACAUUGAUGCUCGAAAGUGUGGGUAUCAAACAGGAUUAGAUACCCUAGUAGUC